CAGAAAAAGCAGCUCUUAAUCAGAGCAGUAGCAAGAAGAAAGAUUUUUAAGCAGGGUGCUCCUGCUUGCCUAGCAGAGUGAGCAGUGAAAGCUUCCCUCCAAGGUGACUUCCAACCACAGUGAGCAUUGCUCACCAGCUGGAGCAGGACCGCCAGACAAAUGCAUCUUCUCUGCCACAGCCCAGCACCAUGCAAGUCUAGACUGGCAUCAGCAGGACCCCAGAGCUUUACCCCAGCUGAGGACCUGGCACAAUAUGUUAAAAGGUACUUUGGCCCCAGACUCAUUUAUUUGUGUGCAUGCUUCCCCCCUCACCACGUCCGAAUUCUGCAGCACCAGAGACAACAGCUUGGCUAGCUCUGCAUGGUGCCAUGGUCUCUCCUUGCCUGUGGGGUGGACAUGUCAAACCCCCCAGGCCAUGAUGCACACCCGGCAGCCAGCACAAACAAGCAGCCCUAGCUGCCAUCUCUCCCGAGCUCCCUCUCCAAAGUCCAUGCCUCCUUGCCUGGUUUCUUCCAGCUGUCAGUUGUACAGCAGACCUGGAGCUCAGGGUUUCUGAUUCUUGUCACAAGAGCAUCCUAAAGAAGGAAAAGGGGGAGACGCAGGAGACCAAGUUGUGUGUAAGUAGUCAGGACCAUCUGCUGCAGUUAUGUACAAAGGCCAUCGCUUUCAAAACGGGAAGCAAAAUCAUGUCACUCUUGGCUGUGCUCUUCUAGUGUCCUCCCCAUCGAGGCUGAUGCUGCAGUGUACCAGGAGAGGACAUACGCUGUCGACAAAUCAAUUCCUCUGGCUAAUUUGAUUCUGCCUCAGGUGCUGCCCCCACAGACAGCAUCCCCAUCAUGUGUCAUAGCAGUGACAGACAUGCUGGCUCCAAACACCUGGUCUAUCUACGCAGCUAAAGGCAGUGUGGUACAGAGAUAAGGCCUAUGCCCAAAGGAUAGCACCUAGCUGUGGCCAAACCAAUUGCCCACUGCUGUUCCCUUCAGCAAGCAACUUCCCAGCAGAAGCCCACCAGCUGUGCAGCCACCCUGCAUCCCACCCCGUGUGGCUCCAGCUGGCAGCUGUGCAGGGGCCACACCACGCUCCCAAGUGGGACACGCUGCUGCAUGACACGUUUCAGCCUGUGCUUCGCAGAUUGCAGCAUGGCCGAUGCACUUCUUUGGAAGAACAGCAACAUGAAAACCCACCAGUGGUGAUGAGCAGAGAACUGCUCCUUAACAGGCUGAAGGCUUGCAGCUCUUCUUUUAUGAGCUCUUUGGAGGACGAGAAACCCUCCCACCUCUAUGGCCAUGGUAAACAGCUGCAGCUCUGGUCACAGCUCCCUGGUGUCAUCGUCCCUCCAGCUCUCUGCAGCUUCACACCUGCAUUAGUUGCUUUUGGUGAAGAAAAGAGUCAGUAUGUCAGGGAUGAAGCUAGAGCAGAAACGUACUUUUCUACAUGUCGAAAGGGCAAGCGAAGAAAACAGUUGUUUGGGGGUUUUUUUUGACAUUUUCCUUCCCAAGUUACCUUCCUAAAGCGUAGUACCUGGUACAGAUAAAGCCUUCCGGUCUGAACUACGCACACCCUUCCCAACACAUACUCAUGCUUUAGUCAUUUGCCUCCUCUCAAAGCUCAGUUGAAAUAUACUCUGCAAGACCACCCGGAUUCACUAGUCUUAAAAAGCCAAGUGCUGCCUCCUUCAGUGGAUUAUGAAACAAAUCCUCCCAGUCUUGGAGCCAUUCCGUUAUUGUCCCCGCAUAAGAUUUUACUUCCAAGGUACAGUACACGUACACAAUUUACUGUAAUCAAAAGCAUUACUUAAGGUUACUUAAGGAUGACUUUAGCUUACGGCACAGAAGCACAAAGAUAGCAAACCUCUUCAGUUAUUUUUGAAAACCAUUAAACAAAAAAAAAAAAAAAAAAAAAAAAAAAGAAAAAAAAGACUUUGGCGCUACAAUGGUAUAAUUUGCAAGCUACUUCCCUCUGUUUGUAAAGAUAAAAGUCACCCCUAGGCUGCUGAUGAACUUACCAGGUACAUGUUAAUAACUGGGGGAAAAUUCAUCUGAAGUAUCAGACAAUACAAGCUGCUGUGCAGAACUGGCAAAGCAAUUUAAAAGUUUUGAACCCUGGCUUUGUGAGUUAAGAACGGGGAAGGGACGGGAUUCCUACCUGCAAGAGAGAACGCGAUGGACUGGCCAUUAACCACAAUAUUUCAAAACAGGCUGACAAGGGAUCUGCAGGGAAGCAGGACACCAGCAAUAGGUGUUCAGUGCUGCAGCGAUCGCCAGGCAACUUUCCCCCCAACAGUUAGCUGUUCUUACAGCACGCGCACUUGGACAAAUCCCUCACUUUCUAGAAAGAGGAACAUGCAAAGCAGCGUGUCUAACAGCGCGGCUUCUCUGCUGUUCUGGACAAAAGCAUUUUGUCUUCCAGCAUCAAAAGACCCCCUCAUCACCUGCUGGGCCAGGACCUGGUACUGCUGGUCCAACCUGCCAUCAGCCAUAGCUACUUCAUUUACCAGCUUUGCUCCGCCAACCCAGCUGUGCUGCUACACGUCACCUAUGGACAGGACAGCGGCCAGUCACUACCUUACUGCUGGGUACCUUAAUUAACCACCAUGACUCCCCCAGGAAACAGGCAGGUGACACCGUCCCCAUCUCAUGUCGAUAGGCGGUGGAAGUGCCAGACUGGCUUGCUAGGGGCGACGAGGUCUUGGUGGGAGGUCACCCAGUCUAUACCACAGUCAGCCCAGCGCAGUGGCUGGCCUAAGCCGUCACCUGGAGAGCAAAGCCACCUCCGGGUGGUCAGGCGGAGGUGCCUGCGAGGGCAGGGAGGCCGCGGCAGCAGGAGGAUGCUCCCGGGGACUGCCACGGUGCAAGCCCAGGGCAGCUGGAGCAGAGACGCUCCGAGCGGGUGUCUUCUGCCUAAAGCCGGCGUCUGAUAGACCCUCGUGAAAAUGUAAAUGCCAAGAGGAGGAAGAGAUGGAGAGCCACCGCUGGAGCAACAGCUGCCGGGGGCGGCACCGGCGCAGGGCCGGGGCGAGCAGCAGGCUCUGCUGCCUCUUUAUCUUCUGGUCUACACUUCUUGUACACCUGCGCUUGCUGGCAAAACACGGGAAACUGAAAAGUCCAGACUAAGGGAAAACACUACCAAAACAUCAACCAGCUGUCCUUGGGAAUCCUGACAAGCUUAGUCUGGAUCAGUCCAGCACAUUGUAAAUGGAUGAAAAUAUUAUGAAGAGUGAACACAAUCUGGGAAGUGACUGAAGAUGCAGGGAGGACGUGGCUGUAGCCAUACGCAUCAUGGAAGUUCCCCUUUGUUCUUGCACAACUGCCAGAAGACACACAACCACAAGGCACUGUACUGACGUGUAACGUGCUAGAUCUGGGUUUAGAUGCCAUGGGUGCAACCUGGGAAUCCUAACACAGCUCAGCGUCGCGUGCUAUGGCCCUAUAAAAUGCCUGCAGCAUACAUUUACACACUGCUAUUAUUGCUCCCAUUGGCCCUAACACAGGCAUAAAUCACCUCUGCUGAAGGAAGUGUCAUAUCACAGUAUUGUCACAUACAGGAAAAGGUAAUGACUUUCCAAAAAGUGGCAUGCAGCAAACAGAUGCAAUGCCAUCCCCCAGCCUGGUCGUAACUCCUCUUUUAGAUGCAGGGAGAGAUUUUCUCCACUCACCUUCAGGAUCAGUCAGCAGAAUAAAGACUGCAUUUAGCCAAGUGUUCCUGCCAACUCUAACAGGGACCAAAGUAAGCAAACAUAAAAGCCAAAGAGCAACAAUCAUUGCUCUGUCAAUACUGUUGUUGCUAUACAGGAAUCUGAGUCAUACUAAAAGGCGUCUCAAGGAAGGGAAGAGUGGAGCUACAAGAAAUACAAGACGGAGCAAGGAAAUUCUGAUUAAAGCAUCACCACAGCAGCGAUGGGGUGGCAGAUAUGACUAUGAGAAAGUGGCAUCAUAUCCUUCUUGACAGUAUCACCGGGGCUAACAGAGUGGCAAAAAUGAAAGAAAAAUUGAUGAAUGACUUGCUGCCUGUGGAGACUAGAAAGUCUUAAAAUUAAAAAAAAAAAAUAAAUCUUAAACCAAAAGUUUAAAGAAAGUGAUAAUAAAGAGGGUGUAAACCAGAAGCUGUGGUCUAGAUGUGAGUCAGAAGUAAGAAGUCAGCACAGCGUCUUAAGGAGGUGAGAAAUAAAAGGAAGCCCUUAGAGGACAAGGGGUUAAAUCAAGGCUGUGGCCCAAGAGAAAGCGGUGGGAGAUCAGGAGGAGUGACUACUCUGCACAGAGCCAGGAAGAGAGACACCAGAGCAAACAUUACAGAAACAGCUUCAGAUCUCCUGUAGUUCAAGAACUACUGCAGGUUAACUGGUGCAGCACCUCACUCAAAUACACCGGCAUGUUCCUCCCCUCAAUUAGGGGCAUGCUGAGCAUCUUUACACCAGGCUGCAACAUGGCUUACAGCUAGAGCCAGAAAGGAGUUUCAGAUUCAGAAAAAAUAAAAUGAGGGUAUCAAAGAGGCAAAGAGAGACCGGAAAAGGCAGGAACCUGGAGGAACUGAAAUUGAAGAGUCAUCAAGUAAUAUCAGUGUUAGAGAAUAAGAUAUGUAAAAGAAGGAUAAAAUGAAGAUGGGAAAAAAAAAAAAAAAAGCUUCCUUUCAGUGCUCAGGUUUCUAUGAGAAGUAGAGAGCAGAGGACUUUUUUGUCCGAUGAAUCUUGGAUAACAGUAGUAGGAAAGAGCUGACAACUGAAGUAAGGGAAGCGUCUUACACCAGCUGGUGUUCUUGCACAAUUUUCCAUGUUGUCAGAGACUUGGAAAAACAUUUGAAUACACAAGGAACAUUUGGUUUGGCCACUCCGAGGGCAGGCGCUGCUCCUGGGAGCCCAGGUGGUAUUCCCAGGGCCCAGAGUGCACUGCUGCUGAAACUGUGACAACCCUAGAUGCCAAGCACUGCUUUUCAAGCCUUGAUAAGGCAAGAUCGCUGUGGAAACUGGAUACGGGCUCCUUCGCUAGGGGAUUGCUGCGCAGCCACCAGCCCCUCGGCAGCCCCCUGGAGCUGACGGGGAAGGCGAGGGACAGGGGCAGAUGUCUCCUCACUGCCGCCGAAAACA